UUGACCUCAAAUCAGGUAGGACUACCCGCUGAACUUAAGCAUAUCAAUAAGCGGAGGAAAAGAAACUAACAAGGAUUCCCCUAGUAACUGCGAGUGAAGCGGGAAAAGCUCAAAUUUAAAAUCUGGUAGUCUUCGGCUGCCCGAGUUGUAAUCUAGAGAAGCAUUAUCUGCGCUGGACCGUGUACAAGUGUCCUGGAAUGGACCAUCAUAGAGGGUGAGAAUCCCGUCUUUGACACGGACUCCCAGGGCUUUGUGAUGUGCUCUCAAAGAGUCGAGUUGUUUGGGAAUGCAGCUCUAAAUGGGUGGUAAAUUCCAUCUAAAGCUAAAUAUUGGCGAGAGACCGAUAGCGAACAAGUACCGUGAGGGAAAGAUGAAAAGAACUUUGGAAAGAGAGUUAAACAGUACGUGAAAUUGCUGAAAGGGAAACGCUUGAAGUCAGUCGCGUUGGCUGGGGAUCAACCUUGCUUUUUUGCUUGGCUUACUUCCCAGUUGACGGGUCAGCAUCAGUUUUGACCGGUGGAUAAAGGCUAGGGGAAUGUGGCACCCUCGGGUGUGUUAUAGCCCUUGGUCAUAUGCAUUGGUUGGGACUGAGGAACUCAGCACUUGUGCUUA
rnacentral:rRNA from 1 species